rnacentral:rRNA from 1 species
AGUGAAGCGGGAUGAGCUCAAAUUUGAAAUCUGGCUGGUUUACUAGUCCGAGUUGUAAUUUAAAGAAGCGUUUUCGGUGGCAGCCUGGGUAUAAAUCCUUUGGAAUAGGGUAUCAUAGAGGGUGAGAAUCCCGUCUUUGACCUAGUGCAUGCUACUAUGUGAUACGUUUUCAAAGAGUCGAGUUGUUUGGGAAUGCAGCUCAAAAUGGGUGGUAAAUUUCAUCUAAAGCUAAAUAUUGGCGAGAGACCGAUAGCGAACAAGUACCGUGAGGGAAAGAUGAAAAGAACUUUGAAAAGAGAGUUAAACAGUGCGUGAAAUUGUUGAAAGGGAAACGUUUGACACCAGUCAUGUGGGUGGAAAAUCAGUCUUUUGCAUUGGGGAGUUGUAAGGGUUCGGACCGCAAGGCCGGCUUUUGCUUCAUCUUUGGUGUAAGUGAUGCACUUUUUCAUCUACAGGUCAACAUCAGUUUCUUUUGCUGGACAAAACUCCGAGAGAAGGUAGCAGCUUAGGCUGUGUUAUAGCUCUGGAGCGAUACAGUGAAGGGGACUGAGGUUUUCGCAGCGUGUGCUCUCGGGCAAGGCUGGAUGGGUGCUAUGGGAUCGUUCGGGGUACAAUGCCUGGCAUUUUGCUUCGUGUCUUUUCUAUACUCGCUCAACUCAGCUCUUCCACGCU